UACGUAGGGGCGAGCGUUGUCCGGAAUGACUGGGCGUAAAGGGCGCGUAGGCGGCCGAAUAAGUCUGGAGUGAAAGUCCUGCUUUCAAGGUGGGAAUUGCUUUGGAAACUGUUUGGCUUGAGUGCGGAAGAGGCAAGUGGAAUUCCUGGUGUAGCGGUGAAAUGCGCAGAUAUCAGGAGGAACACCGAUGGCGAAGGCAGGUCUCUGGGCCACUACUGACGCUGAGAAGUGAAAGCAUGGGGAGCGAACAGGAUUAGAUA
rnacentral:rRNA from 1 species